CCUACGGGAGGCAGCACUGAGGAAUAUUGGACAAUGGAGGCAACUCUGAUCCAGCCAUGCCGCGUGCAGGAAGACGGCCCUAUGGGUUGUAAAAUGCUUUUAUACAGGAAGAAACGCCUCCUCGUGAGGGGGUUGACGUACUUAG
rnacentral:rRNA from 1 species